rnacentral:lncRNA from 7 species
CAAAGCCUACUUCCAGAAGGUAGAGGAGACUAUGGUGGACCAGUUGUCUAUCUUGUUUACAUCAGACUGGACACAAGCAAGAAGGAUGUUCAACGGCCAACAGCAAGGAAUGUGGCAGCCAUUUGCUAGCACGUGAAUAUAACUGAGAACUUCUCAAAGACUGUUAAUACCUAUUUUUUAUUAUAUUAUAAUAUAAAUAAGAAUAGCUUUUCCCUGAGGGAAACAGGAAGCUUUGUUUUGAAAUCCAAGUGUCUGAAAUUUGCUCUAAUUUGUACCUUAUCAUCAACACUAGCCUACUGAAUAAGUACUUUUAAGUAUCACAUCUCUUUAUAUCACAAAAGUAAUAUGGUGCUGAGUUUUGUUUUGGUGACUUCCAUGAAUUAAACCCUGGGGGAGAAAAAAAUACCCUGCCAUUUUAUAAUAGGUAUCUGCUUUCUCAACACAAAUUGAUCUAGAAAAAUAUGAAGGUUAAAGUAAACAUGCUUCAAGGGAAAAGUGUUUAUGGGAAAAGAGGAUGAAGGCUUGGACAUCCACUUGAUAGUUUAUCAGUCAUUAUGUCGACCAAAUGAGCUUCUACGGGAUUUAAAACUUGUCUUCAUGGUCAGGCUUUUGCACUUUAUGUCAGUUAGCAGGUAAUUAACGGAUUACUUAAAAUGCAUUUUCCGCAGUCAGGGUGUACACAUCCAACAAGUGUAUUUCAAGCUUUGACCAAGAAUAAAUAUUUGUAGUUUGAGGAAUUGGAGGAGUGUUCAUAUCAGUUUAUAUAAACAUGUAAAGUGACUUUAGAUAAUCCAGAAUUAUUUAUCUUAACGUAAAAAGUCAUAUGCUGAUAUAAACAUCCUCGAUGCAAAAUUUCUUGUUACUAAUUUUGCAAAGGUUAUAAACAAGGUUAUAAACAAUACGGGAGGACAGUUAAAUCAGAAGAAUAUUGGUUAGUAACCCAUAUUAGCUGUCCCAGAGUGAAGAUCAAGAGACUUCACUGUAAGAAAUUGCAAGGUAAUUUGUACAUAAAAUUUUUAUGAUAAUCAUUAUGUAACAGAUGCUUUUGUAUACUUCAUACUUCUUUAGCUGUACAUUUUCUUCUUUAAUAUACAUUUCCGUGUUCAGGUAUUCUUCUCAUUGUUAAUGCUCUCUCCUUUCUUGAAUGCUGGCAUAUACCUGACCUCAUGACCAUCUCAUAGCAAUGAAUUCAACAGGCUAAAUAUACAGAUUUAAAGUAUUUCCUUUUAUUUGGAAUUCCUAUUUUCAAUUUUCUUGAAAACAUGUAUUACAAGGCUGCUACAUAGAUAUUAUUACUCAACAACAUUCCUUUUCACAGCAUUCAUUGUUUUAAGUAGUUCUAUCAUCUUCAUUUUUAUUCACUUCCGCUGUAAUAUGAAUAUGUCUAACAUAUUCUUCCUCUCUUCAUAUGGAAGUUUUACAGUCCACUGUAUUUUUUUAUCUAUUUCUGAAUAUGCUUUUUGAGUUAUAUUUUUGAGAGUGGAAUAAUGAGAAUUGGAUAGAGAAUUGUAAAAGUAGACUUUCUCCGUAAAGCCACUGCAAUGUUUUCUGAGUUAGUUUUCAUCCCAAUCUUUAUUCGUCCAAUUAUUUUUAUUUAUGAAUUUCUUGCCUUUCAGGCCCCUAAUGUACACAGAGAUGGACUCUCAUCUAACUCUUCACAGUAAAAUAAUAAUGUUUUCCUGGAAUAGGCAAGCUAAUAAAGAACCUAAU